rnacentral:lncRNA from 1 species
UACAUAUUUAAGUCCCAAUGUCACAGAUUUUGAACUUGUGACCUCAUUUGAGGGGGAGCAAGGCAGUAAUCACUAUCCAAGUUGUGGUAGGUAUAAUUAUAGUUAUUUUUAACUAAAUAGUAUAUUUCUGGCCUUUGGACUUGUGUUUGAAGCUAUAAGCUAAGGAUACCUGGACUUGUGUUUGGCCUUUAGCGCGCCAUUCCUGACCACAUCAAAAGUUGAAGGGAAAAGUUGAUAUCAUAAUGUAAGAAAAGCUGAAGUUUUAACCCCUCAAUUCGAACGUUGUUCUGCAGUUGUAUCGGUUUGACACGCCUUCUCAAAAGCCUUACCAAAGCCGACUAUCUUUAAAUCUUUAUAGAAAAUGGAUCUCUUCACGGUACUAUUUCGCUAUUGAUCGUUCAGGAGCAUUUCGCCAUGCAAGGUGGUCCUGAUAGCUAUCACAAGAUAUUUAGCAGCCUUCUAGAAUUCUUGCUUUUUGAUGUCGAAGACUUUUCCUUUUUGCUGGAAAAGAAGAAAAAAAAGCUUCUUUUGAGUUAAAAGAGAAACUGGAGUAAUUGAAUUGGUUUUGACACCCGAGUAAUCUUAGAUAGGAUUAAAGGUUCUCAUGCUUGAUUUUGAAUCUUUUGCUGUGCGUGUCUUGCACCGCAGAAGAGUAUACAAACCAACUUUGUACCGCCGCAUGUCAUCCAUCUUGAAGACGAAUUGCUAUCUCAACUCUCAAAAAUAGGGAGGGCUAUAUUUAGCCUUCCGUCUUUUUGAUGAAUGAUAUGAUAGCUAUCCAGGACUAUAAAAUUUUUUGCAGAGCAAAACAGGCACCGCAGAGGAUCUCAAAUUCCUCAUGCUUAGAGGGCAAGUCUUUGUGCAAGCAAAAGUUUUGGUGGGUAUGCUAUUUGGAAAAUAGAUAUGCAAGGUCCUUAGAUGGUCGUGGGAGCUGCAACAUUGCUUUUCUUAGCGGAAACCUGUGCUUG